rnacentral:rRNA from 1 species
GAUAAACGCUGGCGGCGUGCCUAAAACAUGCAAGUCGUACGGGCUUCGGCUUCGGCCGGAGUCAGUGGCGGACGGCUGAGUAACACGUGGGUGACCUACCUCCGAGCGGGGGAUAACUGCCCGAAAGGGUGGCUAAUACCGCAGACGUUGUCGGAUCGUACCGGCAACUCAACCCGCAAGGGGCUUGGAGAGGGGCCCGCGGCCGAUUAGCUUGUUGGUGGGGUAAUGGCCUACCAAGGCGACGAUCGGUAGCUGGUCUGAGAGGAUGAUCAGCCAGACUGGGACUGCGACACGGCCCAGACUCCUACGGGAGGCAGCAGUUAGGAAUUUUGGGCAAUGGGGGAAACCCUGACCCAGCAACGCCGCGUGGGUGACGAAGGCCUUCGGGUUGUAAAGCCCUUUUCCAGGGGAAGAUAGUGACGGUACCCUGGGAAUAAGCCCCGGCUAACUACGUGCCAGCCGCCGCGGUAAAAC